rnacentral:rRNA from 1 species
UGGGGAAUAUUGCACAAUGGGCGAAAGCCUGAUGCAGCGACGCCGCGUGAGGGAUGACGGCCUUCGGGUUGUAAACCUCUUUCAGUAGGGACGAAGCGCAAGUGACGGUACCUGCAGAAGAAGCACCGGCUAACUACGUGCCAGCAGCCGCGGUAAUACGUAGGGUGCGAGCGUUGUCCGGAAUUACUGGGCGUAAAGAGCUCGUAGGCGGUUUGUCACGUCGUCUGUGAAAUCCUAGGGCUUAACCCUGGACGUGCAGGCGAUACGGGCUGACUUGAGUACUACAGGGGAGACUGGAAUUUCUGGUGUAGCGGUGGAAUGCACAGAUAUCAGGAAGAACACCGAUGGCGAAGGCAGGUCUCUGGGUAGUAACUGACGCUGAGGGGCGAAAGCAUGGGUAGCGAACAGG